GACGAGAUAGAAUGGAAAACCAAAGAGAACGCUGAUAGGAGCAUAUUUAUGCGACUUAGUUAGCUUGUUUUCUUGCAUUUAUGUUGUUAGUUCAUAGUUAUUUUAGUCUUUUAAGCUAUUUUCGUGUGUUUACAGGUCCAAAGGGCUAAAGUAUCAAGAAAGUGCAUUUUGGAGCAGUUUUAGGCUUGGAAUGGAUAGCACAUGCAUAGAGCAAGGUGGAUGGACGAAAUUGAAGACCAAAAAAGGCUAGGAUUAUGCUGAAGUUAUGAAGAAAUUAAUUCAAGAAAAGGAAGUUAAAGAUGCAAGCAAGAAAGAAGGAAUGUUAGCUAAAGUUACCUUAUUUUGUCCUAAUCGUUUCCUAAUCCUAAACCCCCUAAUUUCCAGCUGCAAGGAGGAUCUCUAAUUAUUUUAGGACACUAAAUAAAUGAUUCUAGAAGACUUAAUUUCAUUCUUGAUCUAUGCUGCACCUUUCUUACCCUUUUCCUUACAUUGUAUGACUUUUCCCUUUUCUCCUAGUCCUUGCCGCAUAUCUCUUUACCCUUUCUCCCAAAAUCUGCCACAUAUCUUCGAAACCCUUUUCUCAAAGUUGUGCCACACCCCACAUUCCCUUUCUUCUUAAAUUAUGAUAUUUAUUUCUCUUUUUCCUUGUGGAUUUGGGAUCAAACCUGUCUACGAAAAUUAAUUAGGUCGUGCCUUUCCAUCCCUAUAAAUAAAACCCUUCGCCGCACCACUCGGUCGUUUCUGAUCACCACAAUACCAAUCCAUCCUUCACCAUAACUCACCUACAUCCAUCCACCACUCAUCCAUCAUCACAACCCUUGUGCCGCAGCAAAGAAGAAGAAGGAGGACAUUUGGAUGUGCUUGCCAUUCAAGCUUGGAUUGCUGGAACAUUUUUAAGUGUAAUCCAUCCUUUGUUUUUAAUGUUUAAGUUUAAUUAUCUUUGUUUUGCGAACAUGAAGAGCUAAACUCCUUUUACCUAGAGGAGAAUUCAAAGCCAUGAACAUAUUUGUAAUAUGAAUUGAUUACUUUCAGUUGUGAUUUCAUAAAUCAUGAAUGCAAUUUACUUAACUAUUUGAUUCAGAACUUAUUCUUAUAUGUUGAUUAAGAGGGCCCGCUUAGUUUGCAUGCAUGAAUUUGAUGCUAGAAUAUAAGGGAAUUUCACAUAAUCGUUAUGAACUUAUAUUCAUAAGUAGUGGAGGUUGCUAGUCACAAUCAUGUUAAGUAGAUUCCUGGUAGGAGUAUCAUGCUAUUUAUAGUUUCGAAUGCCUUGUCAAUGCUUAUGAUUUUCACAAAGCUUAAUGAUCUUUGAUUGUAUCUCUAUUAUGUUGUUCAUGUAGGGGACUAUUAAAGAAUAAUUUGGUUGCCGAUGCGUUGUCCAUCCAAUUCAAUGACUUAAGGAAAAUCUGAGGGUUAAUUAGUGCUGUUCACGGUUAAUCUGGGGCGUUAAGGUUCAUGGUUUAU
rnacentral:lncRNA from 1 species